UACGGAGGAUCCAAGCGUUAUCCGGAAUUACUGGGCGUAAAGAGUUGCGUAGGUGGCAUAGCAAGCAAAUAGUGAAAUGAUACGGCUCAACCGUAUGUCCAUUAUUUGAACUGCUAAGCUUGAGUAUGAGAGAGGUAGAUGGAAUUUCUAGUGUAGGAGUGAAAUCCGUAGAUAUUAGAAGGAACACCGAUGGCGUAGCAGUCUACUGGCUCAUUACUGACACUAAGGCACGAAAGCGUGGGGAGCGAACGGG
rnacentral:rRNA from 1 species